GACUGAAAUUUUCUUGAAUUAAUGGUUCCACUUGGUGACAACUGCAGGGAAUAGCAAGGAGACUUGUCAAGGCUGCACUUCGAGAAGCAGCUAAAAAAAGAGAGAUGAGAUAUUCAGACCUGAAAAAGAUAGAUAGAGGUGUGAGAAGGCAUUUCCACGAUGACAUUUCUGUUGUAGUUGUGUUCUUAGAUCCUCAUUUGAUCAAUGGUAGGCCCUCCCCUUGCUCCUUGUCAAUCAAAGGAGGAGAAGGUCUCCCCUCCUCAGCGAACUCCUAGCUGGUAAACUUUGUUAAUGUCUUUAUACCCUUUUCAAUUUAUUCACAAACAAAACUAGAAACUUCAGGCUUCUUAGAAAGAUCUAUCAAUUUGUAAGAUCUUCUAGUAGCAAGUAAAAUAGAAGAUGACAGGAUGUAAAUGUACAAAGUUCGUAAAUUGUUUCUUAAUGUAACAAAAUGAAACAACGUCCUUCAUCUUUGUAAAUCUUGUUAUUCUAUCAGAAAUUUCAACAUUGUCCAGUUCUUUACCAUCAUCAUCAGCGUAAAAUAGUUUCCCGUUUUAUGCGUUGUUGUAUGUAGAUUAGCAGGCAUAAAAAAUGGCUGAU
rnacentral:lncRNA from 1 species